rnacentral:lncRNA from 1 species
GCAAGACACAUUGCAAAAGAUUUUCCAUAUUUGAAACUGCAAUACCACAAUAAAUAUAAAGUUAGACAAGAAAACCCUCAAAAAAAAUCUUUUAAAGAUUACCGUAUAACCACACCAAGCAAUAAACAACCUGAAGAAACCAACUACGUGUAGUUCUCUUUGUGAACUCCUCUAUUUCUUUACCAGUAAUAAUGCACACAAAAGAAACCACAGAAACCAAAAAAGAAAAUAAUCACCAAAUGAUACCUAAUAGUCAUAAAAUUUUAAAAAUGAAAAAGAAAAAUUCACAGCCAAGAAAUAUCUACAAAAUAAUAGGAAGCUAACCUUAAAAGUCACUCGAUUACCAUGCAAAUGCUUAAUUUCUUUUCGUUUCCCCUCCAGAAUGAUUUGACGUAAUUUUUUUUGAGUUGAUCUUGGCAGUCAAAGUGAAAGCAUUGGGAGAGAAUUAAUUGCAAAAGGAAAAAUUAGGGAAAGCAGAAUCCACCAAUAAUAUUUAUUGACGAAGAAGAACUUACAAGAGAAUCUAGCAGAUCUGGAAACUACCCGGAAAAGAUUGCGAAAAUAAGAAGUGGGUGUUAAUUUGUAAUUGAUCGGUUCCGGAGAGAGGGAUGGAAGAUCACACAAUAAAGUACAAAAAAAAAAGGAUAAAAUUGAGGAAACUUAUUCACUCAGUAUAACUAUUUG